rnacentral:rRNA from 1 species
GUAGGCCUAACACAUGCUCUCGAACGGCAGCACAGGAGAGCUUGCUCUCUGGGUGGCGAGUGGCGGACGGGUGAGGAAUACAUCGGAAUCUACUUUUUCGUGGGGGAUAACGUAGGGAAACUUACGCUAAUACCGCAUACGACCAACGGGCGAAAGCAGGGGAUCUUCGGACCUUGCGCGAUUGAAUGAGCCGAUGUCGGAUUAGCUAGUUGGCGGGGUAAAGGCCCACCAAGGCGACGAUCCGUAGCUGGUCUGAGAGGAUGACCAGCCACACUGGAACUGAGACACGGUCCAGACUCCUACGGGAGGCAGCAGUGGGGAAUAUUGGGCAAUGGGCGCAAGCCUGAUCCAGCCAUACCGCGUGGGUGAAGAAGGCCUUCGGGUUGUAAAGCCCUUUUGUUGGGAAAGAAAUCCAGCUGGUUAAUACCCGGUUGGGAUGACGGUACCCAAAGAAUAAGCACCGGCUAACUUCGUGCCAGCAGCCGCGGUAAUACGAAGGGUGCAAGCGUUACUCGGAAUUACUGGGCGUAAAGCGUGCGUAGGUGGUCGUUUAAGUCCGUUGUGAAAGCCCUGGGCUCAACCUGGGAACUGCAGUGGAUACUGGGCGACUAAAAUGUGGUAAAGGGUACGGAAUUCCU